CCCUACCCCCAAAACAACCUCUCAGACCUCCCCAAUCUCUUUCACCAUUCUUCUGCCGUUUGUUGCCGCCAAAAAUUGUCCCACAGCGGCGACACCACUCCAUGUCUGCCCAAAAUACCACCAUAUAAUCUCCAUCACGCCAUCAUCUCCAAUUUACUAUUUACUAUUAUUUUUCUCCAAAUCCAUCCCAAACUUGUCGAUUAGUAGAUCUGAGACUUUCAAAAACCUGAGUUUACCCCGUUUUUGAUUUCCCUUUUCGUUUUGGCCUGUUUCACGUCAUAACUUACAUCAAUAGACUGCUCUCGCUGAGAGUUAUCGAUUGUUGUUAGUUUCACGGUCGUCGGUGAACGGUCAAACGUCAUUGACCACCUCAGCCACCACUCAAGCUCAUACCUGUGGUUGUGGGGCAAUGGCCAUUGGCUGCCGAAAUUUUUGCUCCGACUAGGAUUCAUUCAAGGGGUUAUUCCUUUCUCUUCAUUUUCUUUAGUUUUAAAUUUAGGUAGAGAUGAAUUUACUUCUUCUCCUUGCUGAAUUUAAUGGAUACAGUAAUCGAAUCUGCUGCAACAUACUGAUUUGAACAUGAACUCAGGUUAAUAAGGAUUAGCAUAUUUCUGUGUCCUUAUUUGAAUUAUCCUUGUGGUGUUAAUGCUUACAUAAGCAGUCCACUAUGUAUAUGCCCGAGAUUGUGGAUAUAUCCCUUGAUUGGCUAGAUCUCUAACUUCAAAGCCAAAUUGGAGCCAUAAGAGUAAUUCAAAGGCUGCUUUGAAGUUAAAAGGCUUUGAAUGAGUUUGAACACCACUUGCAUUCUAGUGAGAUUAUGUAAUUGGUCAUAAAAAUGUAAUUAAAGAGAUUAGUACUCUAGAAUUGAAGGUUAUGAUUUUGCUACAACGAUCUGGUGAUGUCACUUCAAAUUUAGAUCAUGUGUAUUCCUGCUUAUUUCAAUUCGUAGUUAUUUCCUUUCUUUGC